GAUGAACGCUGGCGGCGUGCCUAAUACAUGCAAGUCGAGCGAACAGACGAGGAGCUUGCUCCUCUGACGUUAGCGGCGGACGGGUGAGUAACACGUGGAUAACCUACCUAUAAGACUGGGAUAACUUCGGGAAACCGGAGCUAAUACUGGAUAAUAUAUUGAACCGCAUGGUUCAAUAGUGAAAGACGGUUUUGCUGUCACUUAUAGAUGGAUCCGCGCCGCAUUAGCUAGUUGGUAAGGUAACGGCUUACCAAGGCAACGAUGCGUAGCCGACCUGAGAGGGUGAUCGGCCACACUGGAACUAAGACACGGUCCAGACUCCUACGGGAGGCAGCAGUAGGGAAUCUUCCGCAAUGGGCGAAAGCCUGACGGAGCAACGCCGCGUGAGUGAUGAAGGUCUUCGGAUCGUAAAACUCUGUUAUUAGGGAAGAACAAAUGUGUAAGUAACUAUGCACGUCUUGACGGUACCUAAUCAGAAAGCCACGGCUAACUACGUG
rnacentral:rRNA from 1 species